UUGUACUUCUCCUCAAUUGACACUUGCUUGUUUAACUCCUUCAUAUCCUUUGACUUGGCCUUCUUGCCGGAGUCCUUCUUGCCAAAUAGUGGCAUCACUUCGAAGGAAUUAAGUUUUCUUUUUAAUGUAACCGAACCGUCAAUGUGUGCAAGCGUGCCUCAUAGUUGUCGUCGCCUCAUCAACAGAUUUCGUCAGACUUGGCGUAAAUUUCUAAAAGAAUUUUUAAUAAGAAAAGUAUCUUAUCAGCAGAAGUGGCACGAAUACAUUCCUACAAGCAUCAACGGUUGUUUUCGUUUCUGGACUCAAAAAAGUCUCAACAGUAGGCUCUGAGCCAAAGGUUACAUUCAACUGAUUGCGUUCUGGUGCUAUACGCUAUGCUAAACAUUAUAUGUAUGCACUCCUAUUCGAUUCUUCACAGUGCGAUGUUAAUCACAAGUAAAUUAAUAUUGACUUGAUCGCUUGAAGUAUUAGGCAGAAGGAGAGAGGAAAGCGUACUCCACGACGUACUCUACCUGGUAUAAAAACGUUUCUCUUGGCACAAGAACUUUUCUUUAUUCUGGCUGUAAUGAUUAAGCGAUUCAAAUUUUGGUACUUUUUGGUGUAGAAAUUUUCAGAAUGUAAACAUUUGAAAAAAACUAUAUACAUAUGUAUGUACAGCUGCGCCGGAAAAAAUAGCACCAUGCCACUAAUGUGUCUGUAUUGAGAGAUUUUGUUCAAGCAAUGGUUUAAUUGAUCUGUUUCAAUCUAACAUAAAAACUUUAAGUUGCAAUUUAACGUAUCUGAGAGUAUUGCUGACUUCGAAUAAAAACAGUUGAAAUUAAUGUUCCAUUAAAAUUCUUUACUUCAGUUGAGUUCGAAGGCUACAAUUAUAUUUUUCCCCAUGGCUUUCGGUCUUGCUUAUCUUUAACGAUUCUUUUAGGUCCUUUAUUUCUAUGGACGCCUUUAUUAAAAAAGGGCGGAAAUGGGGGGAAUUAGAUCGACCUUUCUUCCCCGUGUUUCUUGUUGGUAACAUAUGUAUUUCAAAGUAUUGCGCAUCAUUUUAUUUAAGCAACCGACGAUUUGCCCUACCGUAAGCAUUGGUGUCUGAAUCCGCAAUUCGAAUUUUGGUUCUUAAGCUUUUUAUACCCGUACCUGAAGAGUUAAGGGGUAUAUGUAUUAGAUUUGUGGUAAAAGUGAAUGUGUGCA